rnacentral:lncRNA from 1 species
ACCAUAUCGGGAUGUUGUACAUGCUCAAGAUCACUAGCCAAGUGUUGUGGUCACUGUUCCUCUCAUUGAAGGGAUUCAUUCCAUCGGUGCUCAAGGCAAAUCGUACAUUCCUUGGGUCCGAGCUGAACAACGGGUUGUUCAUAUUGAAGUCCUACCACUGACUACCAACCCCGGGUGUGCAAUGACAUUGUCAUCGAUGUUGCGCUCAAUGCCCCACCAUGUCAUGAGCACUGCUUCCUUAGGGUUCAUGAAGAUACACAUCAAGCGGUCGGC